AACCAUUCUCACCUGCGGCUAGACCUGCGGAGGGAUCAUUACCGAGUUUACAACUCCCAAACCCCUGUGAACAUACCUAUACGUUGCCUCGGCGGAUCAGCCCGCGCCCUGUAAAAAGGGACGGCCCGCCCGAGGACCCCUAAACUCUGUUUUUAGUGGAACUUCUGAGUAAAACAAACAAAUAAAUCAAAACUUUCAACAACGGAUCU
rnacentral:misc_RNA from 1 species